GGUGUCAUGCUGAGAACACUUGA
rnacentral:siRNA from 1 species